rnacentral:lncRNA from 1 species
CCGCGGCCGCAGAUCCCGGCAACUUGCGAACCGGGAAAAGUUUGCGGCGCCUCCGCGGGGCGGCGCGACGCGGCCCGCCCCUCGCGUCCGCGGUCAUCGCGGGUGACUUUCUCGACUCGUCGUCAGCCGGGGCCGCAGCGCGGCCGGUGGGGACUGCGGGGCGGGCCGGAGUCCGUCCGAGGGCUCCCGCACCUCGGGCUGCGGAUUUCAGGUACUCCACUGGGCAUUUUCUCUUCAUGGAGCUUAUAGCAACAAAAGUGUUUUACAAAAUAGAGUUUUCUUGCCACAGUUGUAAUGCUCAUGUUGCUUUCUUCCAGGAACAUUAAAAUCUCCCCAGAUGCUCACUGCUCUGAUCAUUUCCCCUACAGCACCAGACAUGUUGGCAUCAUCUCUUAGUUGGGCCAUGUGGCCAGGGAACCCUUCAUGAAACCACCUCUGCAGUCCUGGAGAGUUGCUGUAGAAGAAGGAAAAGAGAGGAAGACAACACAACACAGGAGGGGAUAAGUACCUCUGGACACAAUGGAAGUAGUAGUUGUUGAGCAGAGGGAAAGGGAUAGGAGAAGGAUGUGGACUGCAGUGCUGCAGUGCCAGGUAAUAACUUUGAUCAUGUACCUCCUUGGCUCAGGUGCUGUCUCUUCUACUCUCCUCCUUACUUGUACUACCUUAUUUAGCACUUAAUUAUAUACUUUCUUGACUCACUUUGAGACACACUGAUUAUGUGGUCUGCCUCAAAGACAGAAUCCUAGUUUUGGAUUUUAGCAUUACUGAUCUAUAGCCUUGCAGGGGCUUAAGGAUGGCAGCUGUCUCUCUCCCUUGGGAUCUAGCUUUUGCAAAUAUUGAAGGGAAGAGAUUUCUUUGAUCUUAUAGGAAUAGAUCCACAGUUCCUCUCCAGAUUUGCUUUUAUAGAGAAGUGUGUGUCACCAAAACAAUGGAGAUACGGUCAGAGAGGCCCCUACCCCCAGAAUUUUAAUAUAAUUUUACUUUCUGGGGCAUUUAUUCUUGACAAAUACUUUCUCUCCUAUCAGCUCACUUGUUCCUCACAAAAACCCUAUAAGAUAUUAAUAUUAUUAAACAGACCCCUAUGAAGCACCUCAAGUCUUUCUCUCUUCCCACUUCCAUUCUUGCACACCUUUUGCUAGACUAGUCUCUGCGUUCAUCACAUCAGGUUUCUAAAAUAAAAGUCCCCUAAUAACUUUCUAUUUGUUCUCUCAUCAUAUUGAACCUUUUUUGCCUGGCUUAUAAGGUGGCCUUAAAACCCCAUUUUCCUCUAAACAUUGUCUCUGUAGUUCAGGAAUAUGGCAGGCUCAACACUAUGCUUGAGCCCAUAUUGCUUCCCUCAUUAGUGAUGCCUCCUCUCAGACCACCCAGAUUCUACUCAUUCUUCAAUUUCCAGCUUCUCCUUGGAGCCUUCCCAGAUCAUUAGCUUCUUAAAAAUCCCAGCUUUCUCUGAAUUCUGAUGGUAGCCCCCGUUAUUUGGACAAUUAUGUCCUGGUCUUAAAGUCCUAAUGGGAAAAAAAAGUACAUGAUGGACUUCAUGUAGAGAAGAAAGCACUGGACUGAGUUUUAAGACAGCUGCUAAGGAGCUGUGUGAGCCAAACCAGGUUACUUUACCUCUCUGGAUCUAUAUUUGCUGAUCUGUUAAGUGGAGACAAUUGGGUCAGAUAAUCUUGGUGGUCUUUGCUUAUUCUGAGGUUCUUGGACAACUUGGCCUAGUUCACGUGGGAUGGGAUUGAAGAUCUUACUGAGUUCUUGGAUGGAAAUGUCAGUAAUGGGCACUUAGUGCCUUCAGGACUUGUUCUAUACUAUCCCAGAAAUUUCUGAUGCUAAACUUGGCAAUUUUUAAAUGUCAUAUUCCUUUUCUCCAAACUCUUUAACCACAAGAAUUCAGGGAAGGUUAUGGGGGGUGACUUAGUUAUCUGGAUAAUACAUAUUGUGGACAAUAUAGCAUUAUCCUUGGGAAUGAUUUCAUAUUGUUGAAUAAAUAGGAUCAACUUCUUGAUAAACCUUAGUCCCAAGCAUUUCAUCUUCAUUGGAUAGUGUUACAUAGUAAUAUAUUUAUGUUUUCUUUUAAUCAUUUCAUAACUUGGAAAAUACUAACAUAGUCAAAACUCUAGGGUAGGUGAUACAUGAGUUUCUGUAGUAAUCUGGUUGGAGACAUGUUGUAAUUCUGUAUAUAUAUGUACAUUUAUCCCAUGCAUGUUAUGCCUAAACUAAGACGGAUACCCCUGAAUUAAGAGGUGCUGUUAUACAUUGACCAGGCUUAAGAAUAUCUCUUUAAAGUGUGUCGACAUUUAAUUGACCUUUGGAAGUUCAUUCUGUUAAUCAUACUCAAAGUGCUAAAGCUAUGGUUGACUGCUCUGGUGUUUUUAUAUUCAUUCGUGCUUUAGCAUAUAAAUUCUUCAGCAUAAUUGCUACUUAUUUAGCAAGAGUUUCCUUUAUUUGAAAAUGUGAGUUGUGCUUGUAUUUUUGUGUCUUUCUUUCUUUCUUUCUUUUUUUAAACUUUGCUUCAGGCUGGGUAGUGGUAGAGGUUUGAAUUAAAAUGUUUUCCUGUCAGUAGUUGUAUGAGGUGUGGCUUCUUAAUCUAGAAGUAAUGGAAAUUUCUUGCUUAAAUGAAGUGCACUUUUCUUCCUGCAGAAGUUAGAACUCUUUUAGACAAGCUUAACACUUCAAAACUGUAUAUCUUUAACAGAAACUUUUGGAAAUUUUUAAAUUCCAUUUGUGUAGAUUAAAAAUAUCAAUGCUAAUACUUUCUAUUAAAUAAGGAUUUAUCUAUUUUCAUAAAACCUCUAAUUAUAUUCCUUGAAUUGCUAUGAGUAGAAUUUUGUUGUAAUAGAAUUGAUGAUAGAGUGGCAACUUCAAUACACUCAGUAUUCUUUUCUGUUUGAAGUCUGUUUUGCCAUUGGAAAAAACUUAUUGUUGUUUGAAUUUGGGUAUAUGUAUUCACAGAUGGUUUACUUUAUUUUUAUUUUGUUUAAACAAAUACUUUCAUGUCCCAAACACUGAGACAUGUUUCAUGUCCUAAACACUUUAUAAAUAUUAGAAUAUUUAAUCCCCUUAACUCUGUAGUUAUAAUUAUCUUCAUUUUACAAUUGAGAAAACUAAGAUACGACGUUUUAUUUAAUGGUAACGCCUUAAGUAAGGGGAGAGUGAUAAGUGUAAGCAGAGUGGAAAACUUAGUAGUGCUAAGGAGCAACAGAAGUAUGUGCAAGAGUUUGGGAAGAUGUGUCUGCUUGGAAAGGAUCAGGGACUCAGCUGGGAUCAGUCUUAAAGAGCAACAUGUCCUCAUUCCUCAAUUUCAAAUACCAGUGGAUAAUUUUUUUCUUAGCUUUAACCCCAGCCCAUUUCAACCCCCUCUUUGCCCUUUGUAUAUUCUUUUGAAAAUAUGAUCCAGUAGUGUUUAUGAAUGUGUGUUGUGUAAAAUUUAGAGAUUGAUGUUAAACAACAGAAUUAAAGGACAAAGCUGUCUUUUUUGUUGGAAUUGGGGAUGGGAGAGCAGCUCAAAGUGGGAAAUAUGGAGAAAGGAGAGACAUUGUGGAAAAGAAGAGAUAAAUUGAGGGGAAAAAAAGAGGAUGAAAAAAUGAAGAGAGAGAAUUACUGAUGUGCUUCACACCCACACCUCCUCUCCAACUUCACAGUAACAGAGGCAAUGUCACUAUCUUUUACCUGACAAGUGCUUUACCAGGGAGUUGUGCCUGGCAUCGUGGGAGUGGAAAAUUUUUCCCUUUUGCAUUUUGAGACUUGGGUGUGCUGCUUUAAGAUGCCACUGGUAUCUAAGUAAUGUUUGUUUAUACUGGAUAUUUUUCUCUGUAGCCUUUGUGGAUUGGACUUAUAAUAUAAACAAUAUUGUUAGCAGAACUGCAGGUACUCUAUUGCUAUGUUUAUUUUAUUAGUUAAAAAACUACCAGAGCCCUAGGACUUCUGAGCACAUUUAGAAAAUACCAGAGGCAAUUUUAAGACUAGCAUUAGAAAGAAAGAAAAGAAUAAGAAUAAAACUAAGACUUGCAUACCUUAGAAUCCUAACCAAUGUGGUGAUUUUUAAAAAUUAAUGUUUCAGAGACUCUAAAUUAGGGUAGUUGGUUUCAUCAAUUACAUUUUUUAAGUUAAUAUAAAGUGCUUUUGUAUGUAAAUUCUCUUAAUAGAUAAUUUAGGUAAAAUGAAAGUGUGGCAUUUUUUGUUCCAUAGAAUGUAAAACUAACGUCAGAAUAAGAAUUCUUUUGGGAAUUUAGGAUUUUUUUGAUGCUUCUCAAAUCAUCUGUAAUGACUUUUAUUUAUAGAAAAGGUAGAUUAUUCAUUAGUUUUUAUGAAAAACACUCAGUUUAAAUAGCCGGGUAUGGUGGCGCAUGGCUGUAGUCCCAGCUACUCAGGAGGCUGGGCACGAGAAUUGCUUGAACCUGUGAGGCAGAGGUUGCAGUGAGCCAAGAUCGCACCACUGCACUCCAGCCUGGUCCAGAGUGAGAUUCCGUCUCGAACAAAACAAAACAAAAAUAUUGAGCUAAUCUAAAUGGUAAAAAUCUAGAUUUGAAGAAAUUUAUUUUAAAAUAGUUGUUCAUUUGUCAAAUAGAAAAGUAUGAUCUUAGCAGGUUUGGUUAGAUCCCUAUCUGAAACAAAGUAAACUAAAGAUGUUUUUCUUGAUCAAUGCAUAGCAAUAACUGCUGUUCAAACAUGUGAGGAAUCACCAGUAAAUUGGGGGAUAGAAAGCAGGAAAAGGAGCUUUUUUCUCUUAUUUUUUUUCAUUUAUCAGUUUUUCCCAUUUGUCCAUCCUUUCCUAUAAUCAUGGAAAUUUUUAUUUUUUACACUCCUCUCCCCAUUUUUUUAUCCUAGAUUGCCACCACACCAAGGUUUUCUAGAGUUAGGCAGAAAGAGAACCUGGGCCUAGAUGCUAAUGGAAACUAUCCCAUGCUUUCUCAGACUCUCUUUCCUCCCCAGAGACAAGAGGAGCAAAACAGGAGUUGAUGGCUCAUUGCUGUUGCUUCUGUGGCUGCCCUGUUUGGUUGACCUGAGCUUUUUUUAAAAACCUCCACUCUUGACGCUUAACUCUAUGAAUAAAAUUAGGGCCAGUCACACUGUAUUUUCAUCAUCAGUUAUCCCUAGUGAUUCAAAUUUAGCACAAACCUGCUGUGAGUACAUAUUAAUUAGGUGAAUACAGUAGAAUGCAAUCAUAACAUGAGUCUUUUAAUAACUAUUCUUUGUUUGAUUUUUAUUUUAGAAGUUUGAAGUUAUUUUGUUGAAAAUCUAGAAAAUCUUUAUGUGAGCAACUGAGGUUCGGGUAGCCCACAACAGUUUAAAUCAAACAUUAACUUGCAGUAAAACACUACUGAAAGUGUCUUUGAUUUUGAGGUGCAGAGAGCUGUUUCAAGUUAAGUUGCUAUAUUAGUCUGUUCUCAUGCUGCUAAUAAAGACAUACCUGCAACCGGGCAAUUUAUUAAAAAAAAAAAGAGGUUUAAUUGACUGACAGUUCCACAUGGCUGGGGAGGCCUCACCGUCAUGGUGAAAGAGCAAGGGAUGUCUUACAUGGUGGCAGGCAAGAAGUUUGUGCAGAGGAACUCCUGUUUAUAAAACCACCAGAUCUCAUGAGACUUACUCACUACCAGGAGAACAGGAUGCGGGAAACCACCUCGGUGAUUCAGUUAUCUGCACCUGGCCCCACCCUUGACACAUGUUGAUUAUUACAAUUCAAGGUGAGAUUUGGGUAGGUACACAGCCAAACCAUAUCAGCUGCCCAUUCUCCUGUGCAGUGACAUAAAGGUCUGAUAACCUGAUUUAAAGCUUGGACUCUAAGAUUUUUUUUUUUCUUUUUUUGAGUCAGGUUAUCUCUGUCGCUCAAGCUGGAGUUCAGUGGCAUGAACAGGGCUCAUUGCAGCCUCAACCUUCCAGGUUCAAGUGAUUCUCUUGCCUCAACCUCCUGAGUAUCUGGGGCUACAGGCAUGUGCCACCGUGCCAGGCUAAUAUUUUUAUUUUUAUUUUUGUAAAGAUGGGGUCUCACUUCUGGGCUCAAGCAAUCUUUCCUCAGCCUCCCAAAGUGCUGGGAUUAUAGGUGCGAGCCACUGCACCCUGCUGUAAAGAAUUUCAUAUCCCUGUUUUCGGUGUGCUGUGUCACUGUUUGCCAUGGGUAAAGGUAUAUGAAUCUCUUUUAUUUUGCUGCUUGCAACCCAAUUCCCAUGCCAAACCCAAUUUGUAUCCAAACAAACAAUAUUGGAGACAAGUUCUUCUAUAGAAAGCUUCAUAAGCCAGUUACUGACUACUGUGUCUGUAAAUAUACUCAAACUAUUUUGUAGUCUUGCUAUUUUAAAAAAUGUGUGGGUGUGGGAAGUGAUGUUGAAUGAAUUCAGGGUAAUUGGUGGUUCUUUGUAUUAGGAAAACUCACUAGUUAAGGGAAGUCUGUUUUCAUGAUUCAUGUAUGUUUAACUUAAAAAAAAAUUCUUCCAUCCUUCUCUCCAGUUUCCACUCUACCUCAUAAAUUCAAGUAAUGAAGGAAUUUAAAUAAUAGAAUUUUAUAACUGAAAGGAUUUUGGAGAGAAUCUAUUAACCCUCCUACUACAGUUGAGGAAAUAGAUGUCCAGUGAGGUCAAAUGAGAUCAUGUAGCUAGUUUAAAAACCCAAAUAACAUUUUAGUAGUUUGUUUCCAUUAGUAAACACUGUUCUGUUUGAUUUGCCCUAACAUGUUCAUAAUCAGAGUCAUAAUAAGGAAAAAUCACUAAUAUGUGUGUGGUACUUUCUUGUGCAUACCUCAGUCACUUCUCAAAAGAGGUCUGUAAGGUGUCGGUAUCCUGGUUUCCAUUCAGGGAGAGAACAGUCUAUGAGCCUAAGAGACCUGUCUGUGCCAGUCACUAUCAGAACAGUCUAAUGCUAUGUGUCUUCCUACCUUGGCAAAAGCAUUGGCUGGUCUCUGGACAGUUCUCAUAGCGUAACGACCAUGCCUACAUGUCCUUGAACCUUCAGCUCAGUGCACUGGCCAAGAAAAUGUCUGUAAACCUAACCCAUCAUAGCAGUACUCCUCAGUGUGUGUAUUUGGGAUACGGGUGGAGAGUGCAGAAGGGGUAGGAAGAGGGAGGAGGGCAAGGAAGGGUACUAAUAUGCACCUUACUCCCUCUGGAUGCCAAUACUUGUCUUCAGGCAACUUUUCUUGAGGUGGGGUAGAAGAUGUAUGUGUGAAAUCAGUAGUAAUGGUGUAUGAUGUCCUAAGUAGUGCUAGUAAUAAUGAAACUCUGAAUGGCAUUUUUUGAGUGUAUGCUAUCUGCCAGGAACUGUUCUAGGUGCUUUACUUGUGUUAGUCAUAAUUUAAUCCUCACAAUAGCUCUGUGAGGUAGGUGCCUUCGUAACUUUACAUGUACGGAAACUGAGGCAUAGAAAAGCCAAAUGACUUGCUCAAGGUUACUCAGUAAGUGGCAGAGAAUCUAAAGUAAAGAAUAAGGUGCUGAUUGCCUAAUACAUUUUCUCUGUCUGCCCAUCUAGUGAUCAGAUAAAAAGGGGAGGAAAUAAAAAUUAACACUCUUGUUAAAUAAAUAUCUGCGCACCUUCUCUCCAAGCUUCUCAGAAAAGAUAACCGAUAAUUGCUGAUCCAAGACAGAGGAUUUCAGACAUUUGUUUGUUCACUUAAUAAAUACGUAUUAAGUUGUUACUCUGAACCAGACCCUAUGCUGAGAGUUUAGGAUACAGCUGUGAACUACUUAGAUGUAGCCCCAGAAAUGGCCGUUACUGCCUGGCUCUCAGAGAGGCUGAAGGGUGUGGUGAGAGUGUAAAGCAGCUAAUUGUGAGUAAGUGGUAGACAGACUAGAGCUGGGAAAUAGCAUUUGCAGAAGUGGAAGCUUUUCAAGUCCCUGAGAUUGUAAAAUCAAAUUCAAUGUUGAAGUCUAGAUGGAUUGGGAAACUAACUAAUUGAACUGUGUAACAGAUAACCCCUAAGAAACUGAAGUUUGGAGUAGCUUGUUUCCUAAAACAUUUAGUACUAAUAGACUUUUCAGGCCAGUAAUUCAAGCACAUACUAGCGAGAGCUUGUUUCACGUAACUGGUUAACAUGCUAUAAAAAUGGCACUGUCAUCUGAAGUAAAUGUCUUUGAACUUAGAACUGCCAUAUAAGAAUUUGGACUCUUUGCCACAGAGUGAAGAGGAAGCCCAGGAGAACAAUGAGUCAGUUUUUUUUUCUUUUUUUCUACAUUGCCUACAUUUAAUAUUCUUUUAGAGAGUUUUCAAAGAAUUGCUUAUGCAACACCUAUCCCAGUAUUUAUACAGAGGGAGAAAUUGAUCAUUUUCAGAAAGUCCUUUAUUUAGGUAUGUACUACACCUGGGCUGACUCUUAUACUGAUUUCUAAGUUAAUUGUAUCCUAUGCACAGAUCUCAAAAGGACUGUGGGUGAAGAAACAAGAUCAUCAGCCCAAGACCCCUAUUCAACCCUAACUGGGUUCCUUUUCCUAUUUUCCAGUGCAGCUUAUCCUUGUACCUAAAGUUGAGUAGCCCCACUAGGAAAGAUUGGCAGAAAGGAAUAGUUAAGCACCCCUUGGAGCUUGCUGCCUGCAGGAGCCUACUUCUAGGUACUCAGCUUCCCUUCCACUCUCUAGGGAUCCUGUAGACCACAGUGUUUGUGCUCAACUGCAGAAGCUUCAUGUGAGAAAAAAGUUUCCUUUUCUCCACUGACAUAUUCUUCCACUUUUUCUUUAUAUAAUUUCCUGCUGGUCUCUUUAAUCCCCAGGCUUCUUUCAAACUCCUGUUUCUCUAUAUAGUAGCUUCCUGUACAAAUGUAUGUCACAUUUAUAUGUGGAAACUUGCCUAAAUAAAAUUAGGCAGAUGUGUGAUGCCAGAUAUACACAUAUGACUCAUGUUUGAAGUUUGUAAGUUCUGCUGCUUUCAACCCCACAGAUGUCUCUUACUGCCCACUUGGGCCCUGGUGAUUAAGCAACUAGAUUUGGAGCCAGUCAGGCUUUUGUUUAGACAUUUUAACUUUUUCUUGCUUUCCUUGCAAACUCCUCAGCCUUCAGACUGGUUGGAAAGUAAAUGUACAAUCUUACAUAAAUUUUCAGGUAAUAGCAUUUCAGCUUUUUCCCCAAGAUUUUUUGCUUGGGAGGAGACAGAUUAGACUGGAUUCGGAGUCUUGAUUUUGCAAAGGUAACAAAAGACAUGUUUUUUUAUAAGACUUUUCAUCAUAAGUUUAUUUUAUUCAACAGAAGCAAAAUCUAAUAUAAUGGAAAAAAUAAAGAUCUGUGAUAAAUCUGAUCUGUGUGGAUAAACACAAUUAGAAAGACUUAAAGAUUAAGUAUUGAAACAAACUACCAAAAUAUUUUAAUACUGAUUUGUAAAAAUUUCAGUACAUUUUUCUUCUUUGCUUAAUUCUACUGGGUCCUGUUUUUCAUCAAAACAUUCUAUCAUGUUAGUAUACAAUAACCAUUUUUUGUAAGGAAUCAUUUUAUCAACUAGGAUGACAAGAGGCCUCUCCCAUCCUGGUUGCACAUCACUUUCUAUAACAGAGAGACAUGGGCCAGAAGCCCUGAUGGAGAAAGCAGCCAAUGUCCCUUACAUUUCCACCUUUGGCUUGAAAAAAAGAUCUGUGCACUCAUAUAUAUUUCAUAUAUAUUUUCCAUAUAUAUAUAUAUAAAUUCAUCAGAACAAGGUUGUCUUUUUUUCUUCUGACCACACCAAUGUAAUGAAACAGUAAGUGUGAAAAAGAAAAAAAAAAAUACAGGAAUCAAGAGCCCAAAGAAUUUUUAAGGAAACCAUGAUUGAAUAGGUUAUAUCAGACUGACUGGUCUCCUAACUUUGAUUCUGCCCACACCAUUCAAUAGAAAGAGGACAUGGAAUUCCAGCUAUUCCCUCCACUAUAGAAUUUACUACAUUUUAAAUUUAAACAGGUUAAUUUAAGCUACAGUAAUAAUUUGAGACAGAAUCUCAUCAAGCACAGAUUCAAAGUACCACACUUUGAGGUCAGAGUGGAGAGAGCUUUUCCCUUGGGAUGAACAUGAGAAGGUUAAUUAAAGAGGAAGUGGACUUUCUCAGAGCAAAGGGUAUUUUCAUAAAACCAUGGAAUCUUUGAGUUGGCUAAAUCUCCAUAAAUUUUAUGAACAUAUUGUGUUCUUUUAUCUACUGUAAAGUCACAUUACUGUUGAUUUUCCAUAUAUUUUAACUGUAGUGAGUUAUUCUAUGAUUUGCAAUAUACCAUUUUUAUGCAUGUAAAGUUGUAUUCUAACAUAUUUACUUUUUGCUCAUUUGAUUAAAUUUAUUACUGUGUAUCCCAUCAUUAAGGUAACUAAUUUUCAGUAAUUAAACUGUUGGUCUUCUGUUUAGCCAUUAUUCUCAGUUCUGUGCAGGAGUGAGCUGAAACAAAGUUGUAUAGCCCAGAGAGUGAGAAGCUGCAUUUCAUGUCUCCCAACAGUCAGAAAGGGAUUAUGUACUGUUUAAGGAAGGAGUUUGGCGAAUAUUUUGAAACCCUUUUGGGAAAGCAUAGAAUAUUGAAAAUCCAAAAUUAACCAAAUCCGUGAGUGUGCAAGCUCAAAGCUAGAGACCUUAGGAAUAUCUUAGGAUGUGCAAAACAGGAAGAAAACAAGAACUGAGCAGGCAGCACUAAGUAAGUGUCAUAUAGCCUCCCCACCCACCCUUCCAACCCUACUCCUAAAAGAGCCAUAAUUUAGUCCCAAGUAUACUUUUCUGAUCUUUUCCUGUGACAUAUUAUGGUAUCUUCAAAUGGUACUGGGUUUCCUGAGGCUUGUGCUGCUGACUGCCAACCCCAUCCUAGAGAGCACUGAGCGACAGAUACUGUAAACAUCCUACACUCUCAGCUGUGGAAAGUAAGAAAGCUGGGAGAAGGCUGUUUACUCUUUCUGCCUUGGAAGUCAACUAAAGAGAAAUGGAUUUUGAAUAUUUCUAUGUCUUAGAAUUGAUCCUAUCCCGUGUUUGUUUCUGAGGUCAACUGUAAAAGGAAAAAAGGUGAAUUGACUAAGUCAUCCAAAGAAAUGUAAGAUAAUCUAUAAUAUCAGUUAUAUUUGAACUGUUUCACUUAGUUUAAAAAGAAAAAAAAGAUUACCAAAUACCCAAGUGACAAAAGUUCUGGUUAACUUGUAUGAGGCUACAUUUUGUGGGUUGCUGCAGUCUGAUCUGUAAAAGCAACACAUUACCUAUACGUUAAGCUAAACAUUUCUCCUUUAACCUGAGAGCAUUCCACACUGAAGUCUGCUUUUCUUGAAGCAAAAAUUCUAGUGUCCUUGGACUUGCUAUUUUAUCAGGGAUCAAAGGCACCUUGGAGCCCCAUGCUUUAGGAAUUGUAAUGGCAAACAAUAAGGUCUGCUCUUUAAAGCUAGAAUAUAGUUACACAUUUCAGGAAAAAAUAGAAUUGUUGUUGGAGGACGGGAGAGGAAGGAAAAUGUAGAGGUAAGGGAUGGGAUGCAAGAAGUUAAUUUUAAGAAAAAUCUACAGAACGAACUCAUAAGUUCAGCCUUAACCAGAAAAACUCUUUCAUGUAAAUCGUUUAAAUCAAAGGUCUAUUAAACAUCUAAUCUAGAAUGUAACUUACCUGAAAUUUGAGUCCAUUGCUGAUUUAUUUAAAAUUAUUAUGAAAUAAGCCUUCUUGUUAAAGAGAAUAUUUAAAUUGCUCAACUUUAAUUUUGCAGUCAGAAUUGUGUAAGCUGAACCAGUUGGAAUGUCUGUGGCGUUGGCUAUGGUUUGUACUGUUAAUCAUCAGUACUCUUCAAUUAGGGCACAAACAAGAUUUUUUUUUUCCUUGCAAAUUGAUGUAGUUUGUCUUCUAUAGUGGGCUUCAUCUUCAACAUCAUCUCAUCUUUUCUUAAAAUAAAUUAUUCAUUUGUAAACUGCCAAUUUCUUUGGGGCAUUGCCCCCACUAACAUUUUGUAAAGCAGCAAUGAUUUCCUGAUUUUCCCACCCAAACUUCCCCAUAAAUUUGAUGUUCUUGCUUUAAUUUUAGCAGAAUUGACAUUGCUCUGAUAAGGGCUCUUUUCAAACUGAUUUCUUAUCCUUUUUUGUGCCUCAAAAUAGAUCCUGUUCAGACAUGUUACAAAUUAGUACAAGUUUAUUUUGAUAUAAGAAAAAAUUGAAAUCCAUGUAUAGUUUUUCCAUAAUAUGUAUUUUCCAUGAACUUUUUGAAAUUCUUCGUAUUUGCUGAGAUGAUAUUGCUAAGGAGUUAUAUAAUAUAAAAAGUUACAUGUUUGUGUGUUUAUAUAUGUUGCAUAUGUUAUAUAUAUUCAAAUUAUCAUUGUAUCUGAUACAAGUAAACAUAUUAAUUUG